UACGUAGGGGGCAAGCGUUGUCCGGAUUUAUUGGGCGUAAGGAGCGUGUAGGCGGCCAGGUAGGUCUGCUGUGAAAACUCGAGGCUUAACCUCGAGACGCCGGUGGAAACCAUCAGACUAGAGUCCGGAAGAGGAGAGUGGAAUUCCUGGUGUAGCGGUGAAAUGCGCAGAUAUCAGGAAGAACACCCGUGGCGAAGGCGGCUCUCUGGAACGCAACUGACGCUGAGACGCGAAAGCGUGGGGAGCAAACAGG
rnacentral:rRNA from 1 species